CACCCAAUAAAAGGAAGGAGCAGGCGCGCAAAUUACCUAAUCCUCAUUCAGGGAGGUAGUGACAAGAAAUAACAAUAGUUGCGGCUUCUUGCCAGACUAAUUGGAAUGGGCACAAUUUAAACAUCUUGACGAGAAACAAUUGGAGGGCAAGUCUGGUGCCAGCAGCCGCGGUAAUUCCAGCUCCAAUAGCGUAUACUAAAGUUGUUGCAGUUAAAAAGCUCGUAGUUGGAUUUCUGCUCGAGAGGAACGGUUGGCGUUAUUAACGUUUGGUCUGAGUUCUCGUGCAUCUGCUCACGAACCAUAUUGCUCUUAAUUGAGUGACGUCGGGGAUUGAUUCAUUUACUUUGAGAAAAAUAAAGUGUUUAAAGCAGGUUUAUGCAUCUGAAUAAGUUAGCAUGGAAUAAUGAUAAAGGACUUUGGUACUAUUUGUUGGUGUUAGAAACUGAAGUAAUGAUUAAUAGGGACAGUUGGGGGCAUUAGUAUUCUGAAGCAAGAGGUGAAAUUCUAGGACCUUUGGAAGACUAACUGCUGCGAAAGCGUUUGCCAAGGAUGUUCCCUUUGAUCAAGAACGAAAGUUGGGGGAUCGAAGACGAUCAGAUACCGUCGUAGUCUCAACUAUAAACUAUACCAACUAGGGAUCGGCCGGCGUUUAUUUCAAAGGGCCCGGUUGGCACCUUUUGAGAAAUCAAAGUAUUUGGGUUCCGGGGGGAGUAUGGUCGCAAGGCUGAAACUUAAAGGAAUUGACGGAAGGGCACCACCAGGUGUGGAGCCUGUGGCUUAAUUUGACUCAACACGGGAAAACUUACCAGGUCCAGACAUAAUUAGGAUUGACAGAUUGAGAGCCCUUUCUUGAUUUUAUGGGUGGUGGUGCAUGGCCGUUCUUAGUUGGUGGAGUGAUUUGUCUGGUUAAUUCCGUUAACGAACGAGACCCCAGCCUGCUAAAUAGCGCACGUGUGCGUUUGCAUGCGAUGAGCUUCUUAGAGGGACCAUAGCUCGCAAUACAGUCCAGGGAAGUUUGGGGCAAUAACAGGUCUGUGAUGCCCUUAGAUGUUCUGGGCCGCACACGGGCUACAUUGAUGCGUUCAAUGAGCAUAUCAGCUGGCUAUAAAUAGUCUUGGCUAACCUUUUGAACUCGCAUCGUACUAGGGAUUGACUAUUGUAAUUGUUAGUCAUGCAACGAGGAAUAUCUUGUAAAUAUGAGUCAUCAACUCGCAUUGAAUAUGUCCCUGCCCUUUGUACACACCGCCCGUCGCUCCUACCGAUGAAUGUUCCGAUGAAAUUUUUAGAGGGGUUUUAAAAUCUGGGUUUACCCGGACGUCCGAAAUCGCAAAAUUGUUAAAUCUGAAAUUUAGG
rnacentral:rRNA from 1 species